GCCGACGCCGAGUAGACCGAGGUAAGGCCCUUCCCCACCGCCGUCGCCCACUUUCUCUACGUACACACCUGGGACGAAGACAGUAAGGCACGCGGGCACGUUCAGGACCACCAAAGCAAGCUUGCGGUUGGCAAAGGAAAUAAAGUAACUUCUGUGGCAGUACACCGAAAAUGUUACACAGGUGACUACCUGUGUCCGGUCGACCUUUGCCCCUUGAGAUGACAAAACCAAAGGGACCAUUCUGGGGUCUAACGAGCUCCAGGACGAGGGUCCCGUCAGGGAAAGCCUGGGUGACCCGACCCACUGGACGCGCAAUUCUGGAGUCUAUUCUAACAGCUGCCAAAAGGAUGAACCACAGAAAGUGCAGGGAAACGUUGAAAACCUGGAAUGCAUCCCCCACCUAUACAGGCUGAAAGGUCCGUGACACUGAAAAGUCGUGGUUGGGUCCACUGUUAAAAGUUUAAAGACAGGGUUUGCAGCGAGGGCGUCCUCUGCAUGCGGAUGAUGGGCUGCGGUCUGCGCGUGGGGCUCGGGGAGGCGGAGCUGACCCGCGGGGCGGUGG